GACGAAGGUGGCGAGCGUUGUUCGGAAUCACUGGGCAUAAAGCGCACGUAGGCGGCGACGUAAGUUGGGUGUGAAAUCCCUCGGCCCAACCGAGGAACUGCGCCCAGUACUGCGUUGCUUGAGGAUCCAAGGGGUGCAUGGAAUUCCCGGUGGAGCGGUGAAAUGCGUAGAUAUCUGGAGGAACACCGGUGGCGAAGGCGGCAUCCUGGACCGGUAUUGACGCUGAGGCGCGAAAGCCAGGGGAGCAAACGGG
rnacentral:rRNA from 1 species